UACGUAGGGUGCGAGCGUUGUCCGGAAUUAUUGGGCGUAAAGAGCUCGUAGGCGGUCUGUCGCGUCGGAUGUGAAAACCCAGGGCUUAACCCUGGGCCUGCAUUCGAUACGGGCAGACUAGAGUUCGGUAGGGGAGACUGGAAUUCCUGGUGUAGCGGUGAAAUGCGCAGAUAUCAGGAGGAACACCGGUGGCGAAGGCGGGUCUCUGGGCCGAUACUGACGCUGAGGAGCGAAAGCGUGGGGGGCGAACAGG
rnacentral:rRNA from 1 species